UCCUUGUUAGUAUAUCGGUUCAGUACACGCGCUUGUCAUUUUGUGGUAUUCCACCUGGUGUCUUACGCGCGAGAGCUGGGUUCGACUCCCAGACAGGGAG